AUGGGAUGGUGUUUUUCUUCUAUUGAAAGAGAGAGAUCCCUUGCUUUUCUUUCUUUCUUUCACUUGCAACAAACAAUGCUCAUUCUUGAUUCACUCAUGCAUACAUCUCUCUCUCUCUUUCAUCUUCAUGCUGCACAGGACAGCACCCAUGGUUGUGCUACCAACCUUCUGCUCGGCUCAAUCAGUGUUAUUUUUGUUUCUUUGAAUAGAAUCAAAUAUGUUCACAACCACCACCCUGACACAGCUUAUGCCACUCUACCUAGCUGCUAUUCCCUCUUUAUUUUAUCCACAUCACCCUGA
rnacentral:rRNA from 1 species